rnacentral:lncRNA from 1 species
AGACCUCAAUUUGCUUGGUAACACAGCACCAAUGGCUCUCGUUUGCUACCACACCGGCACUCAAAGACUCGGUUGACCUUGGCUGGCACUGCCACCCUCCACACUUCGUCUCUUUCUGUCAAAGGUGUGGGAAGUAGCUCAGUGUGUGUCCCGACUAGAAAAUACAGAAAAAACGUUCCAAGUUCAACGUUGAUGAUGGCUGAGAAGGGAGACCUGCGGUGGCGAAUCCCAAGUGUAAAGCUAUGGCUGGUUUUAACCCUUACUUUGGCAUACACUGUGGUGCUCCUUAUAGCUGAUUACACGACUCACUCCCUUACGCUGAGGGUGGAGGUGUAUCACGCUCUCUACAACCUAUUUUCGCUCAUCGGAUGUUUGCUUACAAUGAAGCUAUGUUCAGGACCGCAAAGCCUGCACAACACCUUCGGCUA